GAGUUUGAUCCUGGCUCAGAUUGAACGCUGGCGGCAGGCCUAACACAUGCAAGUCGAGCGGUAGAGAGAAGCUUGCUUCUCUUGAGAGCGGCGGACGGGUGAGUAAUGCCUAGGAAUCUGCCUGGUAGUGGGGAAUAACGCUCGGAAACGGACGCUAAUACCGCAUACGUCCUACGGGAGAAAGCAGGGGACCUUCGGGCCUUGCGCUAUCAGAUGAGCCUAGGUCGGAUUAGCUAGUUGGUGAGGUAAUGGCUCACCAAGGCGACGAUCCGUAACUGGUCUGAGAGGAUGAUCAGUCACACUGGAACUGAGACACGGUCCAGACUCCUACGGGAGGCAGCAGUGGGGAAUAUUGGACAAUGGGCGAAAGCCUGAUCCAGCCAUGCCGCGUGUGUGAAGAAGGUCUUCGGAUUGUAAAGCACUUUAAGUUGGGAGGAAGGGCAGUAAAUUAAUACUUUGCUGUUUUGACGUUACCGACAGAAUAAGCACCGGCUAACU
rnacentral:rRNA from 1 species